AGAGUUUGAUCAUGGCUCAGAUUGAACGCUGGCGGCAGGCCUAACACAUGCAAGUCGAACGGUAACAGGAAGCAGCUUGCUGCUUCGCUGACGAGUGGCGGACGGGUGAGUAAUGUCUGGGAAACUGCCUGAUGGAGGGGGAUAACUACUGGAAACGGUGGCUAAUACCGCAUAACGUCGCAAGACCAAAGAGGGGGACCUUCGGGCCUCUUGCCAUCAGAUGUGCCCAGAUGGGAUUAGCUAGUUGGUGAGGUAACGGCUCACCAAGGCGACGAUCCCUAGCUGGUCUGAGAGGAUGACCAGCCACACUGGAACUGAGACACGGUCCAGACUCCUACGGGAGGCAGCAGUGGGGAAUAUUGCACAAUGGGCGCAAGCCUGAUGCAGCCAUGCCGCGUGUAUGAAGAAGGCCUUCGGGUUGUAAAGUACUUUCAGCGGGGAGGAAGGUGUUGUGGUUAAUAACCGCAGCAAUUGACGUUACCCGCAGAAGAAGCACCGGCUAACUCCGUGCCAGCAGCCGCGGUAAUACGGAGGGUGCAAGCGUUAAUCGGAAUUACUGGGCGUAAAGCGCACGCAGGCGGUCUGUCAAGUCGGAUGUGAAAUCCCCGGGCUCAACCUGGGAACUGCAUUCGAAACUGGCAGGCUUGAGUCUUGUAGAGGGGGGUAGAAUUCCAGGUGUAGCGGUGAAAUGCGUAGAGAUCUGGAGGAAUACCGGUGGCGAAGGCGGCCCCCUGGACAAAGACUGACGCUCAGGUGCGAAAGCGUGGGGAGCAAACAGGAUUAGAUACCCUGGUAGUCCACGCCGUAAACGAUGUCUACUUGGAGGUUGUGCCCUUGAGGCGUGGCUUCCGGAGCUAACGCGUUAAGUAGACCGCCUGGGGAGUACGGCCGCAAGGUUAAAACUCAAAUGAAUUGACGGGGGCCCGCACAAGCGGUGGAGCAUGUGGUUUAAUUCGAUGCAACGCGAAGAACCUUACCUGGUCUUGACAUCCACAGAACUUUCCAGAGAUGAGACUGUGCCUUCGGGAACUGUGAGACAGGUGCUGCAUGGCUGUCGUCAGCUCGUGUUGUGAAAUGUUGGGUUAAGUCCCGCAACGAGCGCAACCCUUAUCCUUUGUUGCCAGCGGUCCGGCCGGGAACUCAAAGGAGACUGCCAGUGAUAAACUGGAGGAAGGUGGGGAUGACGUCAAGUCAUCAUGGCCCUUACGACCAGGGCUACACACGUGCUACAAUGGCGCAUACAAAGAGAAGCGACCUCGCGAGAGCAAGCGGACCUCAUAAAGUGCGUCGUAGUCCGGAUUGGAGUCUGCAACUCGACUCCAUGAAGUCGGAAUCGCUAGUAAUCGUGGAUCAGAAUGCCACGGUGAAUACGUUCCCGGGCCUUGUACACACCGCCCGUCACACCAUGGGAGUGGGUUGCAAAAGAAGUAGGUAGCUUAACCUUCGGGAGGGCGCUUACCACUUUGUGAUUCAUGACUGGGGUGAAGUCGUAACAAGGUAACCGUAGGGGAACCUGCGGUUG
rnacentral:rRNA from 1 species